CUGGAAAUGGAUUGUGUGAAAAAAACAGUUUAGGAACUAUAUACCGUUGUUUUUGUUUGAAAGUGCGAGGGGUUAUUGCAUGCAUGUAUUUAUAGUUUAUAAGUGCGCCUCGCAGAAACGCACGACUGAGGGUGGCCAAUCUCCCUAAUUAAACAAAAGAAAUAGCACACUCAAUGAAAGCUUGAACGCACUUUUUAUUUAUUAGCCACAUGCAUCGUACACACUGAAAAUCAUUGGGAAUUUGGUGUAGAAAUCAGACAUAACAUAUUAUAAGAAAGGCGUAUGAUAGUUUAACAUCAGCGAUAACCUAUGACAAAUAUUUGACUGUGUGCGUCUACAUCUUCUUCUGUCCCAUCGUUGCGACGUUGUUUUAUUCGGCGUUUAUGUGCAAUACAUUUGCCCUUUUUAGAUUUGUCCGACUUCUCAGCGUCCGUCAGAGUCACCUUAACUUUCCCUAAAGAAGAGGUGAAAUUAAAUCAUAAAAUGGAAGUGAAAUUCGUGAAGCAUGCGCAACAUAUUUUUUCCAGGGUUGCAUGUAUAAUCUACGGGGGCGGGGGUUGCGGAGGGGAGGGGGGGUAUUGAGUACAAUUUAUUCUUUGCACUCUAUUAAUUAUGCCUACUUAUUACGCGUCCUCAACCGGUUAAUAUUACUUCAUUAUUCUUAUUCUUAUUUGGUUCAGUUGAACCCAGUGGACUCGAUGUAUUUAUGCUGGAACAAUAGCCUGCCAGAAAACGUUGAAGCCAAAAUUAAAUGCCUAUACACCAUCAAACACGAUUGUUUUCACAACGGUCCAAAUUAAUAAUAAGUUAACUAAAUUUAAAAACUUAUUAAGAGCGACUGUCUACAAAAAUCAAACAAAAUGAGAAAUAUGUGGCAAGGCUCAAAAUUUUAAAUUUGCUCUACUUUUGAAUAUAAGUUGACUAUGGUGAAGUGCGAAACGUUAUGUGGUUAGUUUUUAAAAAUACUCUUUUGUUUAUGAAAAAAGGCAAAAAAAUGUUUCAGCUGUGAGGACCGAUUUUCGCAAUCGAAAAAUGGCCGAAAUUGCGUAUGUUUACUUAAUCCUGGUAUCCAAACCCUAAAUCCAAAUAGUCUUAUUAUACUUUCUGUUAAAGCUACAUCACUCCCUCGUUUAUUAAUAGUGGUUUUACGAUAAUUGAACAACUGAACACAUUUGUGCACAAUAAAGAGCGACGGGUACUGAUUUUUAAUGUUUGUCAUUGCAUGUAAAAAGUGGCAGAUUUGUCCAUUUUCCAUCCUUUCAAUUCAGAAAUGUAUUAUUUAUUUUGGGCAAAUAAAUUCACACGCUUUGAGAAAGAGUUAACUUUGGUUCAUUAAAUAUGCAAAAUCACUGUUUGGCGAUUGCGUGACUAAACACCCCUUGCAAUAAACUCACUUAAAACAUCAUUGUUCUUCACCUUUAGUUUAGAGAAUUUGAAGAAAACAUAAAUAUAUAUACCUUGAAUGCAAAAAGUUCCUUUGAGCUGUUCCACUUUUGGAGUUAUUCCUAACUUAACUACAUAUUAAACUCAAAGUUCAAGGAGUCCAGCUAACAGAAAUCAGCUAACAAUUUACACAACUUCCAUUCGUAUUCCAUUUACAAUUG